AUAUCAAUAAGCGGAGGAAAAGAAACUAACAAGGAUUCCCCUAGUAACGGCGAGUGAAGCGGGAUAAGCUCAAAUUUAAAAUCUGACAUCAUCUAGGUGUCCGAGUUGUAAUCUAUAGAGGUGUUUUCGGCGGGCGCCUGGGUAUAAGUCCUUUGGAACAGGGCAUCAUAGAGGGUGAGAAUCCCGUCUUCGACCCGGAGCAGCCUGCUAUGUGAUACACUCUCAAAGAGUCGGUUUGUUUGAGAAUGCAGACCAAAAUGGGUGGUAAAUUCCAUCUAAAGCUAAAUAUAGGCGAGAGACCGAUAGCGAACAAGUACCGUGAGGGAAAGAUGAAAAGAACUUUGAAAAGAGAGUUAAACAGUAC
rnacentral:rRNA from 1 species